CAAAAACAGAGACUCCAUGGUUACUCAGCAUUAUAUAGGAAACCCAUUUUGACCUUGGACAAGAUUCAAGGUGUCCUUUAAGCUGUGCUUAAAAAGACUCUCUGUCCUCCAAGACAACAGCUGUUGGAAAAGUGGCCCCUCAAACAGUAUCUCAUUGCUUCACCAUCACAGCUUUUCUCAUAACAGACCCAGCUACCCCUGGACUUCUAGACUGGGCUCACAGGACACAAAAUGAAUGGGCGAAGAACAAGCUGUUAACAGGAAAACUCAGAAACAAUGGAUAGUGUUUAGUUCAAUAGCUUGUUUUGCUUCUUGUUUUGUGUGAGCACCUGGGAGAGGGGAAAGCUUACACUUUGUUUUCUGGUAUAGGGGUUUAGAGAGAGGAUCUUUCAAAAAUCCAUAAAAAGGGUCCUGAUUUCCAGGCAUUCUACAACCUGAAUAGUUUUUGAAAACCGUUGAAACAAAGCAAAAACUAAUUUAUCUGUUCUCCAAAGAAGAACAAAUUGGUGCUCUGGAGAUCAUAAAACUCCUGUGUGUAAUGAAUGAAUGGAUGAAGACAAAGUUAUCUUUAGCUGUACUCAUUAUUAACCUGUUGUUUUCAUCUACAUAGUAGAAUGUGUGUGUGAGAGGAACCUGGUGAGAUAAGCCAGUAUCUUGUGUGAUGCACAGGAAAGGAUA
rnacentral:lncRNA from 13 species